rnacentral:rRNA from 1 species
CAGGUGCUGCAUGGCUGUCGUCAGCUCGUGUCGUGAGAUGUUGGGUUAAGUCCCGCAACGAGCGCAACCCUUGCCUUUAGUUGCCAGCAGUUCGGCUGGGCACUCUAAAGGGACUGCCGGUGUCAAACCGGAGGAAGGUGGGGAUGACGUCAAGUCCUCAUGGCCUUUAUGGCCAGGGCUACACACGUACUACAAUGGCCGGUACAAAGGGCAGCGACAUUGCGAGAUGGAGCGAAUCCCGAAAAGCCGGUCUCAGUCCGGAUUGGAGUCUGCAACUCGACUCCAUGAAGUUGGAAUCGCUAGUAAUCGUGGAUCAGCAUGCCCACGGUUCCGAAUACGUUCCGGCCUU